rnacentral:snRNA from 1 species
GUGCUCACUUCGGCGUAUACACUAAAACUGAAAUGAUACAGAGAAGAUAAGCAUGGCCCCUGUGCAAGGAUAAUAUGAUGCAUCUGAAAUGUAUUUUAAGAUAAC